UAGCUAGUUGGUGAGGUAACGGCCCACCAAGGCGACGAUCGGUAGCCGGACUGAGAGGUUGAACGGCCACAUUGGGACUGAGACACGGCCCAGACUCCUACGGGAGGCAGCAGUGGGGAAUAUUGCACAAUGGGGGAAACCCUGAUGCAGCGACGCCGCGUGGAGGAAGAAGGUCUUCGGAUUGUAAACUCCUGUUGUUGAGGAAGAUAAUGACGGUACUCAACAAGGAAGUGACGGCUAACUACGUGCCAGCAGCCGCGGUAAAACGUAGGUCACAAGCGUUGUCCGGAAUUACUGGGUGUAAAGGGAGCGCAGGCGGGAAGACAAGUUGGAAGUGAAAUCUAUGGGCUCAACCCAUAAACUGCUUUCAAAACUGUUUUUCUUGAGUAGUGCAGAGGUAGGCGGAAUUCCCGGUGUAGCGGUGGAAUGCGUAGAUAUCGGGAGGAACACCAGUGGCGAAGGCGGCCUACUGGGCACCAACUGACGCUGAGGCUCGAAAGUGUGGGUAGCAAACAGGAUUAGAUACCCUGGUAGUCCACACCGUAAACGAUGAUUACUAGGUGUUGGAGGAUUGACCCCUUCAGUGCCGCAGUUAACACAAUAAGUAAUCCACCUGGGGAGUACGACCGCAAGGUUGAAACUCAAAGGAAUUGACGGGGGCCCGCACAAGCAGUGGAGUAUGUGGUUUAAUUCGACGCAACGCGAAGAACCUUACCAAGUCUUGACAUCCUGCGACGAUGCUGGAAACAGUAUUUUCCUUCGGGACGCAGAGACAGGUGGUGCAUGGUUGUCGUCAGCUCGUGUCGUGAGAUGUUGGGUUAAGUCCCGCAACGAGCGCAACCCUUACUGUCAGUUACUACGCAAGAGGACUCUGGCAGGACUGCCGUUGACAAAACGGAGGAAGGUGGGGAUGACGUCAAAUCAUCAUGCCCUUUAUGACUUGGGCUACACACGUACUACAAUGGCGUUAAACAAAGAGAAGCAAGACCGCGAGGUGGAGCAAAACUCAGAAACAACGUCCCAGUUCGGACUGCAGGCUGCAACUCGCCUGCACGAAGUCGGAAUUGCUAGUAAUCGUGGAUCAGCAUGCCACGGUGAAUACGUUCCCGGGCCUUGUACACACCGCCCGUCACACCAUGAGAGCCGGGGGGACCCGAAGUCGGUAGUCUAACCGCAAGGAGGACGCCGCCGAAGGUAAAACUGGUGAUUGGGGUGAAGUCGUAACAAGGUAG
rnacentral:rRNA from 1 species